UAGCAUGGAAAAACCUCAGCUGGAUGUCUCUGGCAUUGCAGUUCAAGAGGAUGUGGACCAGUUGGAAAGAGCCCAAGGAGGAGCAUUGAGCAUAAUUAGGGGUCUUGGAUAUGACCAAGGAGGACCAUUUCCAGAUCUCUCCACUGGCUCUGGGUAACCCAGAUAUCGGAGUAAACAAUAAACUGACCCAACCAGCAGACAGCCCCAUGGGAAGCAGAGGUUUCCAACUGGACAUCGAGCCAUUUACCACAACUCUUUGCGUGCGGCCAUCGAGCCAGUUUUUGAUCCACCGAGUGGUCCAUCUAUCAAAUUGAUGUCUCUCCAACUUAGAGACAAGGAUGUCAUGCAGGACAGCGUCGAACGCUUUGCACAAGUCCAGGUAGAUGACGCCAACUGCUCUGCCGCUGUCCAUCAGUUCCGUGGCUCCAUCAUAGAAGGCCACCAAAUUGGUCAGACAGGAUUUCCCCUUAGUGAAGCCAUGUUGGCUGUCACCAACCACCUCGUUGUUUUUCAUGUGCCUUAGCAUGUUUUCCAGGAGAAACUGUUCCAAGAUUUUGCCAGGCACAGAGGUGAGGCUGACUGGUCUGUAGUUCCCUGGGUCUUCCAUCUUCCCCUUCUUGAAAAUGGGGGUUAUAUUACCCUUCUUCCAGUCAUCGGGAACUUCACCUGACUGUCAGGAUUCCAAUGCCCCUGCCAUGGGCAGGGAUGCCUCACACCAGACCAUGUCACACAAGGCUCUGUCCAACCUGGCCUUGAACACUGAGCAUUCACAACUUCCUUGGCCAACCUGUUCCAGUGUCUCACCACCCCCACAGUAAAGAACUUCCUCCUUAUAUCUUACCUAAACUUCCCCUGUUUAAGUUUGAAGCCCUUUGUCCUCUUGUCCUUAUCGCUACAGUCCCUAAUGAAGAGUCCCU
rnacentral:lncRNA from 1 species